rnacentral:rRNA from 1 species
UGGUGACAAUGGCAAGGAGGUCACACCUGUUCCCAUGCCGAACACAGAAGUUAAGCUCCUUAGCGCCGAUGGUAGUCGGACUAACGUUCCGCUAGAGUAGGACGUUGCCAGGC